UGUCCCAUAGCUCAGUCUGGCCAGAGCAAGCGACCGAUAAUCGCUGUGUCGGGGGUUCGAAUCCCUCUGGGACGACCA
rnacentral:tRNA from 1 species